GAAAGUGAAAGGGGGGCGUCCCGGGGCUUCCUUCACGGGGGCCCCGGUCGGCGCCCUCCGGGGCCGAUCCUCGACAGACCGUCGCCGCCGGUGUCUCUUCCCACACCAAAGCGGGGCCAAUACGGGAGCGCGCGCGGGGUGAGACCCUUUCCCCCGUCGUCCGACUCCCGGCCCCGUGGGUACCCGGCGAGCGCGGCAGUCCGGCGGUCCCUCCCCUCUCGGGGGGAGGAGGCCUCCGCCUGUACGCAGGGGGGCGCAGGCCCGGGACUUGCCAUUAGACGCCGUCGCGCAAAUCUGUUGUUGGCCUCGCCGGCUCUGCUUGGGCUCUCGGUUGGCGGGCCGCGCGUCAGGCGGGCUUUA
rnacentral:rRNA from 1 species